UACGUAGGGCGCAAGCGUUGUCCGGAAUUAUUGGGCGUAAAGAGCUCGUAGGCGGCUUGUCACGUCGGAUGUGAAAGCCCGAGGCUUAACCUCGGGUCUGCAUUCGAUACGGGCUAGCUAGAGUGUGGUAGGGGAGAUCGGAAUUCCUGGUGUAGCGGUGAAAUGCGCAGAUAUCAGGAGGAACACCGGUGGCGAAGGCGGGUCUCUGGGCCGCAACUGACGCUGAAACACGAAAGCGUGGGUAGCAAACAGG
rnacentral:rRNA from 1 species